CCCCGCGGGUCUGUUUGCCAGCCCGCCACGCGGUUCUCUCCCGCCUCUCACACCGUCCUGGGCCCCGUGUCCUCCCUGCGCCGGUCCUCUUCCGCUUUCGCUCCCACCCUCACGCUUCCGGAGCGCCACCAGGGUUCCUCAAACAGUUCGGUCGUGGAGGUACACUUUUAGGUGUGGUUAACGCCAAGCCCCCCCAAGCCCCCGGGGGCAAUCAGGCAUGAUUGCACACGUUGACCGACAUACGACACACUCAAGACAUCCCUUCCAGGAACCUCAUUGAGACUGGUGCCUGAUCUGGAGGUGAAAGGAGAAGAAAUGGUUACCAGAACCGUGAGAGGAAGGAGAACCCGGAGGAGGGCUGCUUGCCCGGACAGCUUGGGUGGAGGGCACAGCUACGGCCAGCCUUGAGGAGAGGAAUGGGGGCAAAUUUUAGGGCAGCCAGGAGUGCCUGAGGAAUGUCACACAGAUCCCACCUGGGGGGCAGAGGGUCCCAUGAACCACAACAGGAGGAGGAAAGGAGAAAGUUAUAGAAACACUAUGCUUAUAGUGAUAGUUCUCAAAGUGUGGCGUUUGGAAUGAGAGCCACUGGCUUGGGGCCUGACCUUAGAAGUCAGGUGGUCCUCCUAGGAGGUAAGCCAUCUUGGUAACAUUACCAUCAGCUCCUCUGUCUCCUUGGAUUUGGUGGGAAAGACUCACCUAUAGUACAGUGGAGAAUCCCUGGGAACUCCGGUCAUCUCCUGGCCCACAGGACAUUAUGUAUUAGCUGCAGGUCACACGCACUGGUCUGGCUGAGGCUGUGCCCAGAAGACAACCCAACAGUUGCAAGAGAAGCAUCUCACAUGGAAGCAGGUUUCACUAACAUCUCAGAAUGAAAGAGCACGUAUUCCACCUCCGUUCUGAUCAAAAGCAACGUGUACUUCCCAGUGGCGUAUGGAUCACCUUAGUUCUAUAGUUAGUGGUUUAUAAGUAGUUUAAGAAACUGCUUUCGUAGUAGGUUACAAACUGCCUUUUUGUUUGUCCAUCAGGGUACUUAGUGGAAAUCUGGGCUAAUUUUUUGUGAGUUUCCAUUUAAAAGAUGCCAUUUUGAUAAAACAUAGAAAUCUUUCAUGUGGUCACAUAAGCAUGUCUCUUUAUCUAGAGAAGGAAGUAAACAAAACUGGGGAUUCCCUGGAGGAAUGAUAGAUCAAUACCCAUUUCACCAGAUGACGGACUCAGAGACACCUACAUAGCAGUAUGUGGAGUCGGGGAGAAAUGAGUCAUACUCUAUCAUCAUUCAAAAGAAAAUUAUUUGUUCAUUUUUGACAGCCGUAUGGGCUAGACCACCAGGAGCUAGUUCUGAUAAACUAAGGUAAAGGGAUCAUCUUAAUCUGCUCUAUCCUAGAAAGGUUAAGCAAGCAGCAUUCUUGCCCAUGGGGUAUGCAUGAGUGCUCCUUAAACUGGAGAUAGAAGAAGGGCUCCUGAUGGACAAAUCAGUCAGAUUUGCUAAUGGAUAUAUUCCUCCUCUUCAGUUGUUUAGAAGACUCUCUUAAUUGUUUCUGGCAGUACUAGAUGGCCUAAGAAAGUCUACUGCUUCCUUUGCAUAGCACAAAUUCUUAUGAACCAGAAAUUUGUUGUCAUUGGUAUUAUUUUUUGGUGUCAAGAUUGCACUUCUCAACCUUUUCCUUUCUUCUGCUCUCUGAACCUUCACUGUGUUUUGGAACAUUAUAAAUAUGGCCCCAGAAGACCAGUGGAGCAUGCUUGUAAUUUGUGCUCCAAUAGUCAUCUCCUUUCCCUGUCUCGCCUCUUUGGGGGCUGAGUACUAUGCCUAUCCAGUUUCCUUUUCCUCCCUAAGCAAUGGCUUUGUGCCAGUGGGACUGCAAGUUAGAUGAAAAGCUAUCAAAGCACUAAGGGAAGGAAUCAAUAGUAAUAUAUGUAAGUGUGUACAUAUAUCAUUAGUGACAGGCUCAUUUCCAUGCAAGUUAAGAUGUUCUCACUGCCUCUAAUCGACACCCUGUGUAUCUGUGUGCACACAUAGUCUAAAGGGGAUAUACAUGGCUGGAUUCAUCCUAUAGAGGCAAAGUGGACAGCUGCCGAUGGGCUGUGAUUUGAUUUUGCUGGAGGGACCUUUCCAUGACUACCCCAGCUGGCCCAGGCCUUUCACCUGCUGGGAAUUCCCACAUCACUGGCCUCUUUGGAUUGAGGCACUGAAAGUUGUUUAAAUGCAAAUUAUUUUCUAGGAGGUAGAGACAUUAUUAUUCAUUAAUAUUUGGGCUUUAAUGAGUUUAUAAGCUUAGAAGAGAACAGGCCAGAAUCUUUUGGUAAUAGAAGCCAGAGAGAUAUGUUUUAAUGAUGAUAAGCGGAAAAGAAAAGAGUGCAUUGUGAAAUACUACAGAAACUAUAGCCAGAAACUCAAGGAAUAGCAGAAGUCCCCCAGUUACAUGGUAAGAAAUAAGAUGGAAAAAGGAAAGUGGGCAAGCGGGAGAAAAAGUGCCCCCCAUAGGUGCAGAGGUCAUUUCUGCCUGACCUCCCUAGUGAGUCUUUCCUAAGCAGGAGCGUUUGUAGAAAUCCUGGCUGAGACACGGAUACAUUUCACAUUUGUCGUAGCAUUACUCCUUCUAAGGAUUUAUUUAUUGAUUCAAAAACAGCGAUGGAACACCUAAUACAUGCUUAGGCACUGCAGGUGUAUCAGGAAAACAAACCAGACAAAACCCUGCCCUCACAGAGCUUGUAUCUUAGUGGGAAGGCAGGGAGAGACAACAUGCAAAGUAAAGAAGGGACAUGUACCACAUGUGGUACAUUACAUGGGGGUAGAAGCUGUGCAGAAAAAUGAAGUGACGAGAGUGGGGAGGAAGUGCCAUUUUAAAGAAGGUGGUCAGAGAAGGCUCACUAGAAGGUGACAUUUGAAUAAAGAGUGAGUGAAGAGUGAGCAAGCCAGGCAAAUGUCAACGUGGAUAUCAUUUCUGGCGGAGGGGACAGUGUAUACCAGGUCCUGCAGUAGGAGCCCACCAGGCUUAUUUGAGGACGAGUGGGGGGCGGGGGAAGAAGAGAGGCGUAGAGGCAGGGAGCAGACAGUGUGGUCAAGUGAGCCUGAGCACAGAGUAAAGCAGUAGGGGAUGAGGUCAGAAGCUCAUGGCAGGGGCCGUUCACACGGGGCUCUAUAAGACUUGGAGUCUGAGUGAGAGGGUUUCGAGCCGGGCAGUGAUAUUAUCCAACUUUCAGUUAAAUAGGCUCUUUCAGGGGUUGGCCAGAGACCGUGAAUGUCUUUCGCAGGCCACGAGAUCUCUGUUGCAACUCCCUGAUACUACUGUUGGAGCACAAGGUAAACCAACGAAUACGGCUGUGUCCCUAUAAAACCUUGCUUACAAAGGCAGAUGGCAAGCCAGAUUUGGCACAAGCCGAUCCUGCAGCUAGUGCUGGAGUCCAUUGGAUAGAUGAAGGUGCUCAGACGAGGGUCGCAGCAAUGGGGGUGGCGAGGAAGAUAGCAGCUCUCUUUGGAAGGUAGAGCCCACGGGAUUUGCCAUGGGGUCAGAUGUUGGGUGUGGCCAGAUGACUCCAGGGUUUGGGGCCUGAGCAAUGAGAGAAAUGAAGGUGCCACUACUGAAGUGGGCAAAUUGACAGGGAGGUUUGGUGGGGGAAGAGGAAUGUGGGGGAAGGGUAUCAGGAGUCCUUGGAACAUGAAAAUUGAAGAUGCCUUUAGGAUAAAGGAAUUGGACUAGAUGUUCCCAGACGCUCCUUCUAGCUCUAACGUUCUAUGAUUCCACAACUGCGAGAGAAUAAACAUCUACCCUAGUGGCGUCUGCCAUGAACGUGUUCUUCAGGGAGACCUUCCACGCUGCAUUACUCCAUCUUUCCCAAAUGCAAUUGGUGAUUAUGCUGGCUAGAGAUCAGUUGCUGGAAGGAAGAAGCACUGAAAGGGAGGCAACUGACAGCUGAAACUAGCAGGGGGACUUGGAAGAGGAGCUUAAAUGGUGUAUGUGCCCGAGGAGGCUUUAAAGGGCUGGAGGCAAAUUCCUGUGAAUCUUAGUUUCCUGGAGGUUAUUCAUAAUGGAGGGUUGUCAGCCGACCAGGCUGAGAAUGUUCAACUCAUUUUCAGAAAAAAAAGCAAAGCAUCAUCUUCAGCUUCACCUCUGCUGCUCUUUCAGAAUGACUACCCUUCAGACCUGCUCACCCCCUGCAUUGAUAGCCCUGGCCGGCUGUGCAGGCUGAUUCUGUUGGCCCCUCGGAGACCUGCAGGACACAGACAAGGUCUUUAUUAUUGGCUUCUCCAGGCCAUUUCCUCCCUCAUCUCUCUCAUCUUUCCUCACUGGGAGAUAUGUCUUCUGUCUGCCCAAAUUUUUUCUGCCCAAGGAGUGGCUGUGUGCCAGUGGGGUUGUUUGCUGCGUUGAGAGCCGGCAAACCACUUUGGGAGUGAGCUGAUAGUAAUAUAUUUAGAAUGUGAGCAUUUAUCAGAAGCAGCAGAUGGAGGCAGCAGAGUGGAGCUCCCAGAACCGAGGGCAGGGAGUGUUUCAUUCAAGUGUAAAGCGCGUGCCAUCUAGACUCAGCUGGCGCCCGCCCCUGAAACCAGUGAAGAGAAGGAGGAAAACAAAGAAAGGCCACCUUUGUGGUAGGUCUGAGAGGUGACAGCGAUCGGAAUAUUCAGGGCCUCAAAGACUGCAUUCUGUCUGGGAUAGGAAGGAAAAC